rnacentral:rRNA from 1 species
GACGUAGGUGGCGAACGUUAUCCGGAAUUAUUGGGCGUAAAGGAUGCGUAGAUGGUGUAGUAAGUUAUCGGUGGUAAAUCGAGGCUCAACCUCGUGGAAGUCGGUAAUACUGCUAUGCUAGAGGAUAGGAGAGGUUAACGGAACUCCCUGUGGAGCGGUGAAAUGCGUAGAUAUAGGGAAGAACACCAAUAAGGCGAAGGCAGUUAACUAUUCUAUUCCUGACAUUGAGGCAUGAAAGCGUGGGGAGCAAACGG